CAUACACAAGACCGGGGUGUGCAGCCCUGUUUGGAUCCACAUGACCACCUCCGUAAUCGAAUGGGUUUGCCUGAUUGUAGGGUGCCGCCUCGGAUACAAUCUCAAACCCAUAUGUGUCUUGGACAUUAGCUGCAACAGGACUCCAAUUAGGAUGCAUUGAUUUGAGGAGAGCAACAACUCCUGAAAUGUGUGGGCAGGACAUCGAGGUUCCUGAAUCAAUCUUGAAGUUCACAGAUCCAAUGGCUGAUGAUAUGGCAGCAGCAGGAGUCCAUGCGGCCAAAAUGUUGACACCUGGAGCAGCGAUGUCUGGCUGCAGAAGAAGGUGCAGGGUUUUUUCAGCCAAGUAGGAAAGGCAGUAAUGUAGAAGUUUGAUCAACUGUUGAACUGGAGGAGAUUUUUUACCUUCAGGACAGAGGGGGACAGAGAACUUGGACCCCGAGAUGAGAAAUACGCAACUUCUGGGCCUAUCAGUUCUCCAAGAAUUGUUUUUGCUGAGCCAGACUGAACUGUUGGGUUUCUGUGUAUGAAAAAUAGAAAUUAUUGGAAGUUGCUGAUACCAACAGCAUAUUGCUAGAUUGUUGUAACUGUUGAAACAUGUGCGGCACUGUUUGCAUACCUCAUGCUAGUAGUGUAUGCAAGUAUAGCUGUUCCAA